AUGGAAGUGAGUAUCCUUUCCCCAGUUUAUCGACUAUGAUUAUACUGUGCGAAAAUAUCAGAGUAUUCUAAGCCAGAAAUCUGAUCCAU
rnacentral:snoRNA from 2 species